rnacentral:lncRNA from 1 species
UGCCCAGGAAGGUGAGUCAUUCUUUCAUGGAAAGAUACAACCAAAGUCCCUGGUAACAUUAGGGCAUGUUAGGUUAUGGAUGGGUCAAAUAGGGACAAUUAUAAUAUAUAAGUCCUUUAACCUAUACGUAACACCGGGUCAAGUGCUCUGAAACCAUCAAAUCAUUUUAGGUCACUUAUUUGGCCCUAAUCUCAUUUAUUUUGCAGCAAGUGAUCUAUAAUAUUGGAGCUAAUCUCUCUCUUUUCUAUUCUAUAUCCAACCAAUUAACCCUUGAGAUGCUGAUUUCAACAAGAAUC